UAGAGCUUGAUCCUGCUCAGAUUGAACGCUGGCGGCAUGCCUUACACAUGCAAGUCGAACGGCAGCACGGAGCUUGCUCUGGUGGCGAGUGGCGAACGGGUGAGUAAUAUAUCGGAACGUACCCUAGAGUGGGGGAUAACGUAGCGAAAGUUACGCUAAUACCGCAUACGAUCUAAGGAUGAAAGUGGGGGAUCGCAAGACCUCAUGCUCGUGGAGCGGCCGAUAUCUGAUUAGCUAGUUGGUAGGGUAAAAGCCUACCAAGGCAUCGAUCAGUAGCUGGUCUGAGAGGACGACCAGCCACACUGGAACUGAGACACGGUCCAGACUCCUACGGGAGGCAGCAGUGGGGAAUUUUGGACAAUGGGCGAAAGCCUGAUCCAGCAAUGCCGCGUGAGUGAAGAAGGCCUUCGGGUUGUAAAGCUCUUUUGUCAGGGAAGAAACGGUGAGAGCUAAUAUCUCUUGCUAAUGACGGUACCUGAAGAAUAAGCACCGGCUA
rnacentral:rRNA from 1 species